rnacentral:rRNA from 1 species
UUGGGGACUCUAGAGAGACUGCCGGUGGAUAAACCGGAGGAAGGUGGGGAUGACGUCAAAUCAUCAUGCCCCUUAUGACCUGGGCUACACACGUACUACAAUGGCGCAUACAACGAGCUGCGAGAUGGUGACAUCAAGCGAAUCUCUUAAAAUGCGUCUCAGUUCGGAUUGGAGUCUGCAACUCGACUCCAUGAAGUCGGAAUCGCUAGUAAUCGCGGAUCAGCAUGCCGCGGUGAAUACGUUCUCGGGGUUU